rnacentral:rRNA from 1 species
AGCGAACGCUGGCGGCAGGCCUAACACAUGCAAGUCGAACGAACUCUUCGGAUUUAGUGGCGGACGGGUGAGUAACACGUGGGAACGUGCCUUUAGGUUCGGUAUCACUCAGGGAAACUUGUGCUAAUACCGAAUGUGCCCUUCGGGGGAAAGAUUUAUCGCCUUUAGAGCGGCCCGCGUCUGAUUAGCUAGUUGGUGAGGUAAAGGCUCACCAAGGCGACGAUCAGUAGCUGGUCUGAGAGGAUGAUCAGCCACAUUGGGACUGAGACACGGCCCAAACUCCUACGGGAGGCAGCAGUGGGGAAUCUUGCGCAAUGGGCGAAAGACUGACGCAGCCAUGCCGCGUGAAUGAUGAAGGUCUUAGGAUUGUAAAAUUCUUUCACCGGGGACGAUAAUGACGGUACCCGGAGAAGAAGCCCCGGCUAACUUCGUG